rnacentral:rRNA from 1 species
AUUGGGAGCUUGCUCCCAUGAGAGUGGCGCACGGGUGAGUAACGCGUAUGCAACCUACCUUUAACUGAGGGAUAGCCCAUAGAAAUGUGGAUUAAUACCUCAUAGUUCUUUUGUUCCGCAUGGAAUGAAAGAUAAAGCUCCGGCGGUUAAAGAUGGGCAUGCGUGACAUUAGUUUGUUGGUGAGGUAACGGCUCACCAAGACUACGAUGUCUAGGGGUUCUGAGAGGAUGAUCCCCCACACUGGUACUGAGACACGGACCAGACUCCUACGGGAGGCAGCAGUGAGGAAUAUUGGUCAAUGGGCGCAAGCCUGAACCAGCCAUCCCGCGUGAAGGAUGAAGGCCCUAUGGGUCGUAAACUUCUUUUAUACACCAAGAAAAAGCAGGACGUGUCCUGCCCCGACGGUAGUGUAUGAAUAAGCAUCGGCUAACUCCGUGCCAGCAGCCGCGGUAAUACGGAGGAUGCAAGCGUUAUCCGGAUUUAUUGGGUUUAAAGGGUGCGUAGGCGGCUUUUUAAGUCAGUGGUGAAAUCCUGUCGCUUAACGAUAGAAUUGCCAUUGAUACUGAAAAGCUUGAGUACAAUUGAGGUAAGCGGAAUGUGUAGUGUAGCGGUGAAAUGCUUAGAUAUUACACAGAACACCGAUUGCGAAGGCAGCUUACUAAACUGUCACUGACGCUGAUGCACGAAAGCGUGGGGAGCGAACAGGAUUAGAUACCCUGGUAGUCCACGCCGUANACGAUGAUCACUCGCUGUAUGCGAUACACANUAUGCGGCCAAGCGAAAGCAUUAAGUGAUCCACCUGGGGAGU